rnacentral:rRNA from 1 species
AUAGAUACCCCGGUAGUCCACGCCGUAAACGGUGGGUACUAGGUGUGGGUUUCCUUCCUUUAGGGAUCCGUGCCGUAGCUAACGCAUUAAGUACCCCGCCUGGGGAGUACGGCCGCAAGGCUAGAACUCGAAAGGAAUUGACGGGGGCCCGCACAAGCGGCGGAGCAUGUGGAUUAAUUCGAUGCAACGCGAAGAACCUUACCUGGGUUUGACAUGCACAGGACGCCGGUAGAGAUAUCGGUUCCCUUGUGGCCUGUGUGCAGGUGGUGCAUGGCUGUCGUCAGCUCGUGUCGUGAGAUGUUGGGUUAAGUCCCGCAACGAGCGCAACCCUUGUCUCAUGUUGCCAGCACGUUAUGGUGGGGACUCGUGAGAGACUGCCGGGGUCAACUCGGAGGAAGGUGGGGAUGACAUCAAGUCAUCAUGCCCCUUAUGUCCAGGGCUUCACACAUGCUACAAUGGCCGGUACAAAGGGCUGCGAUCCCGUGAGGGUUAGCGAAUCCUUUAAAGCCGGUCUCAGUUCGGAUUGGGGUCUGCAACUCCG